rnacentral:rRNA from 1 species
UAGGGAAUCUUCGGCAAUGGACGGAAGUCUGACCGAGCAACGCCGCGUGAGUGAAGAAGGUUUUCGGAUCGUAAAGCUCUGUUGUAAGAGAAGAACGAGUGUGAGAGUGGAAAGUUCACACUGUGACGGUAUCUUACCAGAAAGGGACGGCUAACUACGUGCCAGCAGCCGCGGUAAUACGUAGGUCCCGAGCGUUGUCCGGAUUUAUUGGGCGUAAAGCGGGCGCAGGCGGUUAGAUAAGUCUGAAGUUAAAGGCUGUGGCUUAACCAUAGUACGCUUUGGAAACUGUUUAACUUGAGUGCAAGAGGGGAGAGUGGAAUUCCAUGUGUAGCGGUGAAAUGCGUAGAUAUAUGGAGGAACACCGGUGGCGAAAGCGGCUCUCUGGCUUGUAACUGACGCUGAGGCUCGAAAGCGUGGGGAGCAAACAGGAUUAGAUACCCUGGUAGUCCACGCCGUAAACGAUGAGUGCUAGGUGUUAGACCCUUUCCGGGGUUUAGUGCCGCAGCUAACGCAUUAAGCACUCCGCCUGGGGAGUACGACCGCAAGGUUG